GUACUGCUGGAGAGUCCCAAACUAGGACGAAACAGCUGUCCAUUAC
rnacentral:hammerhead_ribozyme from 1 species